rnacentral:misc_RNA from 1 species
GAACGAUGCUCUUAAGAGCAUGUACAAUGCAGAGAAGAGGGGGAAACGACAGGUCAUGAUCAGGCCUUCUUCCAAAGUGAUCAUCAAGUUUCUUCUCGUUAUGCAGAAGCACGGAUAUAUUGGUGAAUUUGAGUUUGUCGAUGACCAUAGAUCUGGAAAAAUUGUUGUUGAACUGAACGGCAGGCUGAACAAAUGUGGGGUUAUUAGUCCUCGUUUUGAUGUGGGUGUUAAGGAGAUUGAAGGCUGGACUGCUAGGCUAC